AUUGAACGCUGGCGGCAGGCCUAACACAUGCAAGUCGAGCGAGCGGCGGACGGGUGAGUAAUGUAUGGGGACUGCCCGAUAGAGGGGGAUAACUACUGGACACGGUGGCUAAUACCGCAUACUAUCGGAUAACCCAUAUGGGAUUAGCUAGUAGGUGGGGUAAAGGCUCACAUAGGCGACGAUCUCUAGCUGGUCGGAGAGGAUGCUCAGCCACACUGGAACGGAACAACGGCCCAGCUGCCUACGGAGGCAGCAGUGGGGAAGAUUGCACAAUGGGCGCAAGCCUGAUGCAGCCAUGCCGCGUGUAUGAAGAAGGCCUUAGGGUUGUAAAGUACUUUCAGCGGGGAGGCGUUACCCGCAGAAGAAGCACCGGCUAACUCCGUGCCAGCAGCCGCGGUAAUUC
rnacentral:rRNA from 1 species